GCCCAUCUUGCCCCCUCCCCACCUCCUCUCUGGCGUUGGGACGGGAGGCGGGAGGGAGGAAUGGAACCAGGGAGUCCGAAGUACAGCUUUGACAACUGUCGCGCUGGCCGGGAUCAGCAGAUCUGUUUUCACUACCUCAAGGUACACAGCCCCAAACACUGCCCAUCCCCAGCUCCCCAUGCACAUCUUUCCUGUUGGAGAAACCAGGAGAGAGAUGAGCAUUUCUGUCCCAGUUCCGAACUCCCCAGAGAGAUUCUGAUGGGCCCAGCUUAGGUCAGGGGAUAGUCUUCACUCAAGAGUUCCUGAGAUAACAGAGACUGGAGUAGCAGGCAUUGCAGAACUGAUUUUAUAAAGGAAGAACGUGUACCAUAAAUAUUGCUAGUUAAAAGCGUGUAUACUGUUGAGUUCUACCUCCUCAGAAGUCUAAAAGGUUUCCUUCCUUUGAGGGUGAAGAAGCAGUAACAGGCGUCCUCCAUCAGACCCCUCUCUGUGGGCACCUAGAACACUUCCCAUUGACGUCUGCUUCAAGGGGAGGUCACUAAAAGUGCCCCACAUGAUGCAGCAGACAUUUCGCUGGUCCCAGUGCCCUCCCCAAGACCUUCCAGAUGGUGAAGUGUUAAGAGUCUAAAAUGGAGUAAAUGAUCUGCAGAAAUUCAGUGGUGUCAGAGGAGCCAGUCCAAAGUCACUCGGCUCUAAACGCUGCGAUUCUAUUAUUUUAAUGAUGCCCAGGAACACAAAGAGGCACGACAGACCCAGAGAUAUGGCACGCACACUUGGGAAACCCAGAAUAAUGGGAACUCAAAACUGUUAUUCAUUCGAGAGCUCCUCAGUCCAAGAAGAUGCCACCUUGGUCAGAUGUGGAUGAGGCAUGACUGGACCGACCCUGUGGGCUCGGCACCCACCUGUGCUAUAAACUGUUCAUGUGAAAACUGUGUGCCCCUGGGUUGUCUGACCUGCAGCUGUACCGCACUUUUAGUACAAUGCCUGCCACCCACAGGAGUGUUGUCACAAUUGAAGUGAAUGCUAUAAAGCAUUGUGAGCAACUCAAAAGAAGGGUGCUGCUUAACUACCCAAAAUUACUAUACACCCACAGGCUGGAUGUUGCAGAAGAAACUUUUCUCUCUCUUUUCCUUUCCCCUGAGCAUUCUUCCAUAUCUCCCACCACAUGAGAGCAAACAACUGAUUGGGAGUCCUGCUCUGUUGCUGAGGCUGGAGUGCGGUGGCGCGAUCAGGGCUCACUGCAACCUCAACCUCCCAGGCUCAGGCGAUCCAACCCCGUCAGUCCCGCCAAGUAGCUGGGACUACAGGUACGAGCCACCACACCUGCCUUUUUUUUCCUUUUAUUUUUCUUUUUAAUUUUAGUAGAGAUUUUAUGUUGCUCUGUUACCCAGGCCAGUCUCAAACUCCUGGGCUCAAGUGAUCCUCCUACCUCGGCAUCGCAAAGUACUGGGAUUAUAGACAUCA
rnacentral:lncRNA from 1 species